CUUCUUCUCAGACCAGACACACAACGCUGCAAAGAUAGACUUUUCUCGUAUAGGCCUCCGGCUCUGCCUCAAGGACAUCACCAAAGAAUCUGUGUUGCGGUCUGUCCAAACUGUACUGGACAGUCCUAAGUACCGUGAGAACAUGAAGCAGUACUCCAUUCUAUUCCGUGAACAUCGACAACAUUCUGUGGAAACUGCUGUCUGGUGGCUAGAGUACGUUAUACGGCACAAUGGAGCUCCACACCUUUGCAGUGCCGCUGUUGACUUGUACUGGUGGCAGCUGCUACUGCUUGAUGUAAUUGGCUUUUUGUUGCUUGUUGUAGGAUUUGCAGUAGCAGUUGUCUAUUUUGUAACACGAAAAUUGAUCAAGGCAUUGACAAGUAAAAAACAUGUGAAAACAAAGAAACAAUAAUUUGUUUCCAGCUAUGAUGUGACCUUCACUGGAAGCAUUGCAUUUACAUGCUCAUUGGUGUUGAGCUACGUCUGUGUGGAUUAUUUAAGACUGAGCUUCAUGCUGAAAAAUUUCACAAAUGACAUUUUGUGAGUGAAAACAAAUCCAUGUGACAGAACAUUGUAUUCUGUCUACAAAUAUGUGCACUGAUAAGUUAUAGAUUCAUCUAUUAAAAAUAACGUUCUCAUUCAUCAAA